GACGAACGCUGGCGGCGUGCUUAACACAUGCAAGUCGAACGGAAAGGCCCUGCUUUUGUGGUGUGCUCGAGUGGCGAACGGGUGUGUAACACGUGAGUAACCUGCCCUUGACUUUGGUAUAACUUCAGGAAACUGGGGCUUAUACCGGAUAGGAGCUCCUGCUGCAUGGUGGUGGUUGGAUAGUUUCGGCGGUUGGGGAUGGACUCGCGGAUUAUCAGCUUGUUGGUGGGGUAGUGGUUUACCAAGGCUUUGACGGGUAGCCGGCCUGAGAGGGUGACCGGCCACAUUGGGACUGAGAUACGGCCCAGACUCCUGCGGGAAGCAGCAGUGGGGAAUAUUGCAUAAUGGGCGGAAGCCUGAUGCAGCAACGCCGCGUGCGGGAUGACGGCCUUCGGGUUGUCAACCGCUUUCGCCUGUGACGAAGCGUGAGUGACGGUAAUGGGUAAAGAAGCACCGGCUAACUACGUG
rnacentral:rRNA from 1 species